AUGCGUUGCAGAUUGAUAUACAUAUAUGGAAAAAAAUAAACAUAGGAAAGGAGAGAGAGACGCGCGAGAAACAGAGCCUCCGAUUGCCCUGGUCUCUCCCAAAUCGCCGCCACCAACCGUCUCCUCUCCCUCCUCCGCCCCACCUCGCCGCCGGCCCUUCUCCUUCCAAUCUCCCACCUCGCAACCCCGGAGGCUACCGGAUCCGCCGCACCCCCACCCACCCAUCCCUCGCGCGUCCAAUUUCUCUCUUCACGCGGCUCCUCGUCGCGCCACCGGCAGUGGCUGCUUCCGGCGACGUUCGGCCAAUCCCGCCACCGCGAAACACAUCCCGAGGUCCUCUCGCAUCGCGGCGCCCUCCCAUCCACCUAGAUCGGCGCUCGCGGCCACCAAAGCCCACCCGCGACCCUCCCCCCAUGCCUAGGGUUUCGGGCGUCGGCCCCGGCGCCGGUGGCGAUGUCGUCCUCGUCUCAUCCGACGUGCGGGGAGGAACGGCCACUGGACAGCCUUGCUGCUGCUCGGGACGAAGCAACCAUAACUCGGAGGAGAAACCAGAAUUGUCGUCAAAGUAACAACUAUGAAAGAGAUAAAAAGGUGCAUGGAGAAGGAUGUUAACGGAGUGACAAAGGUUGCAAAACUCAACGGAAUCAAAAUGACAACACUAGAAUAAAGAGCUCCAUGUACCAUCGAGCCUGUGUGUAUUAUUUGCAGCAGCAAGUGCCGAACGGCAGCAGCUUGCAUGUGCACGAUGGUAUGGAAGGUUAAUCAUGAUGAUUGCAUACAAAAUACGUAUGCCCCUGUUGCAACGCACGGCAAUUACCUAGUAUAUUUUUAAAAUUAGAAAUGUACAAUCUGAUGCAUCUACACGAAAAGACAUGAAGUUGACUGGAUAAGGUAAACUUGUUAUUUUUUUGCUGAAGCUUGUUAAAUUAUUAAGCAUAUCAGCAAGCUAGUUAACCUUCUUUUUCCUUUCUUAUUCACAUGAGUCAAUCUUUCAUUCUUCUCUAGUCGCAUAUACUUGCAUGUGCUGCCUAAAUAUUUUGUUAUUAGAUACGCUAGUAUGCAUGUACAACAUUCAUGCAAAUAGUGCCUAGUUUGGUAUCUCUUUGAAUUCAUAAUGGAAUUUUUAAUUAAAAAAAACAAGGAAAACACAUCUUAAUCAAUGGGUGACAGAAGCAUGAUGUCACAUGCAUGGAAUUAGCGUACGGCUUGGCCGGCUGGCCGGAUUGGCCUACAGUACCUUGUUUGUCUCGGGCACAAACAUAGAUGUAUGCAUAUACAUAUUUGAUGAAUUGACGGACCUCAUUUUUCUUUUCCUUGAGAAUCUCGCUCAUGCACUUUUGGACUUAUCAUUAUGUAAGAUUAUGUAUACUUGUACGCGCAUAAGAUUAGUGUUACGUAACUUGCACAUAUCUGUUAAUCCCAAUCAUCAAUGAAGAAAUCAAUGGUGUACGCAAAAGGCAUAUGCGGCUGAUUUUAUUUUAGUAAUAUAUAUGAGUCCACAUGGAUUUUUUAAUAUUUUUUGUGGUGGUCGGACUCUUCCUUAUUCCUUAUAGUUGGCACCCAUACUAUGCAAUAGCAACGUACGAGUUUGCAUGUGACUGUCUUGGAGAUAUCGUUUUUUAGUACAGAAGGCAUAUAAGACUUGGAUGAAAGAUGUGCACGUGACAAGCUAAACUGUUUUUACAUCAUUUUAUUUGUACGUAAUACUACAUCUUUUUAAUUUUAACCGUUAAUAUAUAAAAUUGAUGAUCAAGAUAAUUUAAUCUAUAUGGACGAACAUGAUUGCUUGUUUGUCUCUUGUUUAAAUAAUAUAAUAGAUGGAACUUGAUGACGCUUCACUUGCAUGCACCAACUGGAUGGAAGGGGACGCUAUGGAGCAAGUCGAGUUCGUGGAGCAAGUCAUGGAUGAUGCCAUGGAAGAUUCAAAAGAUAUAUGGAUGAUUAUAUGGGUGCGUGACAAGUAUACUGCAAUUAUGUGAUGAUGAUGUUCCGGUUCAUGAUGAUGAUGAUGUUCUGGUUCAUGAUGAUGAUGAUGGAUGCUUUCAGUUUUAGUUAAGUUGUAGGGAUGUUGUUCUUGUUGGAUGUUGUUCCUAGGUUAAGUUUUUGUUAAGUUGUAGGGAUGUUGAUGAAUGCUUUCAGUUUAAGUUUCGCUGUCAAAAAUAUAUUUAGAUUAUGCAUCACAUUUGGAUGAUGUACCCCUUUAAUAUCCACUAUUGUAAUCCAACAGUUCUAUCAAUAUAUAUGUUUUCUUUC